rnacentral:lncRNA from 1 species
AAUCACCCUUUGGAUCUUUUUCUAGGGGGCUCAGCCGUUUCCCCACGUUUGACAGCACCAGGAGGGCCGUGCAGUGGGUUUUUCUCUCUCUGUUCAGCCCUCGCCAUGGGGCAGGGCGGUCCUGGGGGGGGUACAGAAGCCUGCAGGCUUGGGUUCCUCCCACCCUCUCCUCCUUCACUGCGGUCCUGUUGUGGGUCCCCGCCACAAAGCGGUGUGUGUGUGCGGCUUCUCUUCCUCCUCCUCCAUGUUGUGCCGCAGGUUCUGUUUUCUGAACAAGGGACCGCUCUGCCCCACCUCCGGGAUGUUUUCAGGUCAGGGCAUGGGGGGGUUUGAUCCUGGCUGUGGUCGCCUCCCACCUUCUCCCCUCCUUCUCUUCCCCCUUGCAGACUCCUACAUGACCUUCCCGGGGAAAUCCUUCUAUGGGGCUCUGUCCGUGGAUCUCAGCUUCCGGUCACUGCGGGUGGCCCGGCGUCAGUGCAGCGCCUUGGGCCGGGGCUGCAGCGGGGUGCUCAGCACCACCGCCGGCCACCGCCUCAGCCUGGGGACCCGCUUCGUCACCCUCCGGGGCUCGGCGGCCGACCCUGCUGCCACCGUCCAUGUGAAGAUGAGGUGCUCGCCCGGCUAUUCUGGGCAGGACUGCCAGUCCAUGUGCCCCCCCUGCGAACCCCGGCUGAGCUGCAACCCCCUGAGCGGCCUUUGUGAGGGCCUCCUCCAGGACGGGCCGGCGCCUGGUAAGCUGGGUGGGAACCCGGGGGGCGCGUGAAGCCGCCUCGUGCUGCGGCAGUCUACCUGCGGGCCUGGUCUUGUAUGCACUGUGGAUUCUGCUUUUCUGGUCUCUCUUAUAUUCACACUUGCCCAUAUGCCCGGCUGGCCUCUCCCCUGGCCCGUGGGGCAGAGAGGGGGUUCCUUUGGAAGAGGGGCCCUGUGGAGGCUAUUGGCCCACACCCUGCGACCCCCAGACCCCCAUGGCUGAACCCCACAGCUCACAAGGGUGCAGGGAGCAUCUUGCUGACGCCUGGCAGAGGCUACGGCUGCUUCCAGGGUUCUGCCUGCGAGGAGCCAGCCCUCUUUCUCCCCACAGAUGCCACAGUCUCCUCUCUGAAGUGCCUGCCGUUGGGCGUGUGGGUCUUCGAGCGGGGGGUUUGCCUGUCUGCAGAGUGCUACGACGAGCGGGAGGAAGCCGCCUCCGCUUGCCAACGCUACCUGGGCGCAACCGUGACGAAGAUCAGGCCUCUGCUGGGACAGGCCCCGGAGGGCUUCGCUGGACCACAAGCAAGCGGCGUUGAGCCCGACAGUUUCCUUUGGGCUUGCCAACGAGCGGAAGGUGGGUGCUGUCCUCCUCCUCCUCCUCCACCACCUCCCUUCUGGGCAGGAGUGCAGGAUCCCACCUGGUGGGAUGGCUGGGAGGAAUAG